rnacentral:rRNA from 1 species
AUGAUGGGGGUGAAAGUGGCCACUGGCAAGGCUCUGAUGAUACUGGUUGCAGUGUUUAUUAUCUGCGCCGGCGGCGGCGUGGUGGUCUCGCCGGCAGCCGCGGAGGAGGUGCCCCUGGUGCCGGCGGUGUACGUGUUCGGCGACUCUACCAUGGACGUGGGCAACAACUUGUACCUGGGGAACGUUACGCUGCCGUAUCCCCCGUUUCCCUACGGCAUCGAUUUCACGGGCCCCGGACCCAACGGAAGGUUCAGCAACGGAUACAACAUGGCCGACUCCAUAUCGAAGCUGUUGGGUUUCAAUAUGAGCCCGCCGGCUUUCCUGUCGUUGACGCCGGAGACGAGCGUUGAGAUCCUGAAAGGCCUGGGCGGGGUCAACUACGCUUCCGGUGGAUCCGGCAUUCUCGACACCACCAAUAAUGCCGACCUCCCGUUGAGCAAGCAGGUGGAGUUCUUUGCAGCCACCAAGGCAAACAUGACCGAGAAAAGCGGCGGCAAUAGCACCAACAUCGAUGCGCUGCUGUCCAAGUCGCUCUUCCUCAUUAGCGACGGCGGCAACGAUAUGUUGGCGUUCUGGGGGAAUAGUCCGUCGUCGGACAAGGUUCAGCCCUUCUACGACGACCUUCUGUCCAACUACACCAAGUAUGUCAAGAGGCUGUACCGGCUCGGGGCGCGGCGUUUCGGUGUCAUCAACGUGCCGGCCAUCGGCUGCGUGCCGGUGGUGCGGGCGAAAUCCCUGAUCGGUGAGAUCUGCGAACCCUUUGUCAAUAAACUCGCCGAUGGCUUCAACAUCGCCUUGGGCGACGCGAUGGCGAACCUUAACGCGUCGCUGCCCGGGAUGAGGUACUCUGUGGGGAGCUCCUACAACCUGGUGACCAACUUCACGGGGCCGCCGGUGGCCCCCGGCUUCGACGAUGUGAAGAGCGCGUGCUGCGGCGGCGGGAAGUUCAACGGGGAGACCUUUUGCAGCUUACCCAAUACCACCCACUGCGACCACCGCGACGACCAUCUGUUCUGGGACGGGGUGCACUGCACCCAGGCCGCCUCCAACAAGGGCGCCGAGGCCAUCUUUGCCGCGCCGGUAGAGCUAAAUUUCACCGCACCCAUCAAUUUCAAGCAGCUGCUUCUUGAUGAUCAACCCACAAACGUCAGCCGUUAA